AAACAAAACAAACAAACAAAGGAGCCGAUUUCAUAAAGGAUAUGGUAAGAGAACACCUAACUUUAGCAUACAAAGUUACAGUAAGAUUGGACCAAAAUCUCUCAUCAAAGCUGGGAGAAGAAACCGCCAGCGAUUUAACUGUUUCUGCUUGAAGCAAUUGACAGCAUGCCUUGGGAUGGGUGGUAUGUUUCCUUGUUAACAAUUAUUUUUAAAUUUUAUUUUUAGACUAUUUUGAAGAAUGGAUUUAGAACUGCAUUAAUUCGACAAAAACGCUUUCUAGACAAUAAGGAGGAAUCGUUUUCCUUUCGGUAACCUCUACAAUAACUAAGAUACAAUUGCGGAUUGUUGCUCCAAUCAGUAGAGCUGCUAAAGGAACUGAAGAACCAGUGAAGGACCAGUGGAGGGAAAAUGAUUAAUUACUGAUGAAGACUGGGUCAAGGAAGAUCAGAGUGAUAAGACAUCAUCUUGAAAAAAUGAAGGAUGAAAAACACGCACAGUGAUAUAGGUGGGGAGAGAUGCUAAGAUCUAUAACAAGUCUGAAGACAUAAAUUCUGGACCAUGGGAAAGGAUUGUGUCCGAGUACUCAUAACAAGUUUUAGAGUCUCUGCAGCCUGGCAACCAUGUACGCAUAUGUGAUUGGAGGGUUAUGCUAGCUCACUAGCACAGACUGGGGACAGGGGCGGUGUGAUUGCAUAAGUCGUGCAGCAGGGACUGCUCAGAGAAGAGGCAGCCAAAGAUGCCUGUCACAACCACCCUAGGACUGGUCAGCAAGGCAAUGCACCAAACAAGGAAGUAUGAAUAAAUUUUCCAAUCCAAGAACACUAUCUAGAAGUAGUGAAAAUUCCAGUUAGUCACCAACUUGACUUCUUCAUGUUCAGUGAGAUAGGAGGUAUGAAUAAAUUCUCCAAUCCAUGAACACUAUCUAGAAGGGUGAAUAUUCAGUUAGUCACCAACGGAAACCUCUUCAUGUUCAAUGAGAGAGCCCCAUGUCUGCCUCAAAACUGCUAUGCCUCUACCUUGAAGAUAAUAGACUGAACCUCUGA
rnacentral:sRNA from 1 species